AUCCAGCUGAUGAGUCCAAAAUAGGACGAAACGCGCGUCAUGGAU
rfam:Schistosoma mansoni, Puerto Rico, WGS project CABG01000000 data, contig: 0141